AGAUGUAUUUUUUUUUUUUUUGAAUGGGUUGAUCUGGGUUGAAUCAGUGGAUGUAGAAGCUGUGGAUAUGGAGGGCCAUUGCACUUCUUCAGGAUGGCGGAACUCACUUUUGACUUGGCACUUCUUUUUCACUUCCUUCUACCAAAAGAGCACAUGGGAUUUUCUACUUUCCAUUCUAAGGUUGGAGCUGUUCCCUCUCCUGUAAGAAUCUGACUCACUGAAUGAAAUAGCUUAUGUUGUAUUCACUUCACUCCAAGAUGCUUCCUUAGAGAAUGUGUCUUUUCUCCUGAUCACUAUACACUUAUUUCCCGUGUAUAUUCCUAGAUGGUACAAGCAUUUCCAAUCCAUGAACAUCGUGGGCUGACAGGAAGCACACCACUCCUGCACUCAGCAUCCAUAUUGCCAAUCUCCACUGGACACUUCUGGAAACAUGCAGUAAACCUUCCACCAUCCCAGUUCUCCUGUGCAGUGAAGUGUUCCACAGCCACCAGUUCAGACACCAGAAGAUGCCAGGACUGGCAGAUGUCCCUCCUCUUAGCACAGAUCCAGUGGCUUCCUUCCUUAGUUGUCCUCCUCUGGAGCCUUACUUUGGACUUACAGCAAGGGUGACAAUUCAGAAUUCAGAGUGGAUUCUGAGAACAAACCCAUGGUCCAGGGCUCCAUUACGAGAUAUUCUAGGCCUUCUCCACAUAUCGUUGUUGGUUUAAGCAAAUAUCAAAACUGAAAGGCAGGAUCUGAGAGUGGAGAACUAAGGAAAGAAAUGCUUGAGCUCAGAGGAAAAGACGUGAGACCCAGUGAGAAGCAGCACACCCACACGCUGAGCACCACACUGCAGGGCCACGCUCGCAGGGGGCAGCCACAUGUCUUCUGUGGCCAAUCAUUUUUACAGUGCUGAUAGAUGUCUAGAGAGCAUGAUGUUACCUAGAGAUUUAAACCUGUGUCCCCCUUAUCAGGCCCAGCCUCAGAUGCCUCUUGUACAGGUGGACCCUUGGCUGUAGACCAUAGUGAGUGGCCAGACACACUGGACCCAGUCAACUGUACAUUCUGGGUGGUUUCCAGGCAGCAAAUAGAAGAAAUAAUUUUUAUCUGGC
rnacentral:lncRNA from 1 species